GCUGAACCUGUUUUGUGGGCGGAGAAUAGAGACAAUAUAAAAGAAAGAGAUCAAGUUAAAUCAAGCACCAGCGGAGUCAUGUUUGUGCAUUAAAGAGGAACAGAUAAAAUUUGCUGGUCAUGGAUGAUUUUGUACGUAACAAAUUAACAGAAUGGGGUCUCGCUGAGCUGAUUGAAAGAUUUAAUGAUAAAAUCAUUGACGAGAAAAGUUUUACCUUCUUGAUGAUCCCAAAAUUGAACGCUUGAUACCCAGAGUGGGAGACAGGGAAAUAUUUAAGAAUAAACUCAAGUUGUUAAAGG